AGUGAACGCUGGCGGUAGGCCUAACACAUGCAAGUCGAACGGCAGCACAGUAAGAGCUUGCUCUUACGGGUGGCGAGUGGCGGACGGGUGAGGAAUACAUCGGAAUCUACUUUUUCGUGGGGGAUAACGUAGGGACACUUACGCUAAUACCGCAUACGACCUACGGGUGAAAGCAGUGGAUCUUCGUACCUUGCGCGAUUGAAUGAGCCGAUGUCGGAUUAGCUAGUUGGCGGGGUAAAGGCCCACCAAGGCGACGAUCCGUAGCUGGUCUGAGAGGAUGAUCAGCCACACUGGAACUGAGACACGGUCCAGACUCCUACGGGAGGCAGCAGUGGGGAAUAUUGGACAAUGGGCGCAAGCCUGAUCCAGCCAUACCGCGUGGGUGAAGAAGGCCUUCGGGUUGUAAAGCCCUUUUGUUGGGAAAGAAAAGCAGCAGGUUAAUACCCCGCUGUUCUGACGGUACCCAAAGAAUAAGCACCGGCUAACUUCGUG
rnacentral:rRNA from 1 species